rnacentral:misc_RNA from 1 species
GCGAGAAGACAUGAAAGAUAAAAAAGAAAUGAAAAAGAAAAAGAUAAUCCAAUAUCCAGAGAAGAGGCAUGCCUCAGGAUCUGUAUCUCUAUCCAGAGAAACAGAAACCCGUGACUUUCUGUCUGACGUUCACAACUUGCUUUUUUAUUUCUGUAUCUCAGCCUCAAGAUCUGCACCACAAAUUAUAAGACAGAAACCAACUCGAGUCCUCUAGCCAUGGAUUGCAUGUGAACACUCACAUGAUAAUUAAUUACCAGAAA